CCUACGGGUGGCAGCAGUGGGGAAUAUUGCACAAUGGGGGAAACCCUGAUGCAGCGACGCCGCGUGAGUGAAGAAGUAUCUCGGUACGUAAAGCUCUAUCAGCAGGGAAGAAAAGGACGGUACCUGACGGAGAAGCCCCGGCUAACUACGUUCCAGAGGCCGCGGUAAUACGUAGGGGGCAGGCGUUAUCCGGAUUUACUGGGUGUAAAGGGAGUGUAGACGGCAGCAACAGUCUGGAGUGAAAUCCCGGGGGUUAACCCCGGAAGUGCGGUGGAAACUGUGCGGCUGGAGUGCGGGAGGGGUAAGCGGAAUUCCUGGUGUAGCGGUGAAAUGCGUAGAUAUUAGGAAGAACACCGGUGGCGAAGGCGGCUUACUGGACUGUAACUGACGUUGAGGCUCGAAAGCGUGGGGAGCAAACAGGAUUAGAUACCCUUGUAGUC
rnacentral:rRNA from 1 species